CUCCAUGAGGAAGGUAUAUAAAGUAGGUAACUUUCUCCUUUUCAAAGAUGCUUUAUAAUAGGGUGAUCAGUGGGACCCGUCUCUUGCUCCUAAAUGAAUUACCAGAACAUAAACGUCUGAUCCUACACUAGAGAAUCGCUCCAAAGCGACCAAGCAGGCGAUAUACCCCCGGAUGCGUUAUCAGGCAACAGUCUAACUGGCUCUGACACCUGCGAGGCCCACCUAAGGCCUUCCGAGCUCCUCUGCUACUCGAUGCCUCCCAGCCUGUGGAAGAAGACUACAGGGAAGAGAAAAAUUACGGGGCUACGAGAUCAUAAGCAAUACAGCUCCUGUUUCUGAGGCUGUGAACAAACCUUCACCUGUCCCGGGUCUUUACUGCCUUGAGGUUGUAAGAUUUGUCUUGUGCUUCCAGCUUCUCAGAAAACUUCCCUAGUGGGAUGAGCCCUAAAAGUGACACAAUCACCUUGACCAUCAGCACUACGGGCGUCUG
rnacentral:lncRNA from 1 species